rnacentral:rRNA from 1 species
UACGGGGGGGGCAAGCGUUGUUCGGAAUUACUGGGCGUAAAGGGCUCGUAGGCGGCCAACUAAGUCGGAUGUGAAAUCCCCAGGCUCAACCUGGGAACUGCAUCCGAUACUGGAUGGCUUGAAUCCGGGAGAGGGAUGCAGAAUUCCCGGUGUAGUGGUGGAAUGCGUAGAUAUCGGGAGGAACACCAGUGGCGAAGGCGGCUUCCUGGACCGGUUCUGACACUGAGGAGCGAAAGCGUGGGGAGCGAUCCGG